GCGGAAUUGUUGGGUCAUCUGGUAAUUCUAUAUUUAGCUUUUUGAGGAGCUGUCAAGCUGUUUUCCACAGCAGCUGUACCAUUUUC
rnacentral:pre_miRNA from 14 species